ACUCCUGCGGGAGGCAGCAGUGGGGAAUAUUGGACAAUGGGCGCAAGCCUGAUCCAGCCAUGCCGCGUGAGUGAUGAAGGCCCUAGGGUUGUAAAGCUCUUUCACCGGUGAAGAUAAUGACGGUAACCGGAGAAGAAGCCCCGGCUAACUUCGUGCCAGCAGCCGCGGUAAUACGAAGGGGGCUAGCGUUGUUCGGAUUUACUGGGCGUAAAGCGCACGUAGGCGGACUAUUAAGUCAGGGGUGAAAUCCCGGGGCUCAACCCCGGAACUGCCUUUGAUACUGGUAGUCUUGAGUUCGAGAGAGGUGAGUGGAAUUCCGAGUGUAGAGGUGAAAUUCGUAGAUAUUCGGAGGAACACCAGUGGCGAAGGCGGCUCACUGGCUCGAUACUGACGCUGAGGUGCGAAAGCGUGGGGAGCAAACAGGAUUAGAAACCCUAGUAGUCCCAUGAU
rnacentral:rRNA from 1 species